GCAUUUGCAGGUAGAGCUCUUUCUGAACAGUACUGGACUGGUCCACUUUUGGAGUAAAUAUUCACCAAAAUCCCCAAAUUUCAUUUAUACCCAUAAACAAAUCUGUGACCCUGGACUGUCAGCAUGAUGA